rnacentral:rRNA from 1 species
AUUGACCGUGGGCGCAGGCUAACACAUGCAAGUCGAGCGGCGCGGGAAGUAGCUUGCUACUUUGCCGGCGAGCGGCGGACGGGUGAGUAUGGUCUGGGAACCUGCCUUGAUGGGGGGGGAUAACUACUGGAAACGGUAGCUAAUACGGCAUGACCUCGCAAGACCAAAGGGGGGGGACCUUCGGGCCUCACGCCAUCGGAUGGUGCCCAGAUGGGAUUAGCUAGUAGGUGAGGUAUUGGCUCACCUGGGCGACGAUCCCCUAGGUGGGCUGAGAGGAUGACCGGCCCAACUGGAACUGAGACACGGUCCAGACUUCCUACGGGAGGCAGCAGUGGGGAAUUUUGCACAAUGGGCGCAAGCUUAAUGCAGCCAUGCCCGCGGGUGUAAAGAAGCCCUCCGGGUUGUAAAGCCUUUUCGCGGAGGAGGAAGGGUCCAGGGUUAAUAAGCCCUGGCAUUGGACUUACCCCGAAAAAGAAGGCCCGGCUAAUUCCGUGCAACAGGCGGGGGUAAUCCGGGGGGGGAAGCGUUAAUCGAAAUUACUGGGCGAAAAGCCCCCCAGGCGGUUUGUAAAGACAGAUGAAAAAUCCCCGGCUUAAUUUGGGAACUGCAUUUAAAAUGGGAAGUAAAGUCUUGAGGGGGGGGUAAAUUCCAGUUUGGGGUAAAGGGGAGAGUUUGGAGGAAUCCGGGGGGCAAGGCGCCCCCUGAAAAAACCUGACGCCUGUUCAAAGGUGGGAAGAAAAAGGAAUUAAUUCCUGGGUCCCAGGGCCAAUUCCCAGGGAUUGCGGCUCACGUUUCUUUCCUUUGGGGGGGCCCGCCCCUCUUGUCUUCCCUAAAUAAAAUAAAAAA